GACGAACGCUGGCGGCGUGCUUAACACAUGCAAGUCGAACGGCAAGGCCCUGCUUUUGUGGGGUGCUCGAGUGGCGAACGGGUGAGUAACACGUGAGUAACCUGCCCUUGACUUUGGGAUAACUUCAGGAAACUGGGGCUACUACCGGAUAGGAGCUCCUGCUGCAUGGUGGGGGUUGGAAAGUUUCGGCGGUUGGGGAUGGACUCGCGGCUUAUCAGCUUGUUGGUGGGGUAGUGGCUUACCAAGGCUUUGACGGGUAGCCGGCCUGAGAGGGUGACCGGCCACAUUGGGACUGAGAUACGGCCCAGACGCCUACGGGAGGCAGAAGUGGGGAAUAUUGCACAAUGGGCGGAAGCCUGAUGCAGCAACGCCGCGUGUGGGAUGACGGCCUUCGGGUUGUAAACCGCUUUCGCCUGUGACGAAGCGUGAGUGACGGUAAUGAGUAAAGAAGCACCGGCUAACUACGUG
rnacentral:rRNA from 1 species